UACGGAGGGUGCAAGCGUUAUCCGGAUUCACUGGGUUUAAAGGGUGCGUAGGCGGGCAGGUAAGUCCGUGGUGAAAUCUCUGAGCUUACCUCAGAAACUGCCAUGGAUACUAUUUGUCUUGAAUGUUGUGGAGGUAAGCGGAAUAUGUCAUGUAGCGGUGAAAUGCUUAGAUAUGACAUAGAACACCAAUUGCGAAGGCAGCUGGCUACACAAAUAUUGACACUGAGGCACGAAAGCGUGGGUAGCAAACAGG
rnacentral:rRNA from 1 species